rnacentral:rRNA from 1 species
UGAGCAAUCUGCCCUUCUCAUCGGAAUAAGCGUUGGAAACGACGUCUAAUGCCGAAUACGACCUCCUUUCGCAUGAUCGGAGGUGGAAAGCUCCGGCGGAGAAGGAUGAGCUCGCGGCCUAUCAGCUAGUUGGUGUGGGUAAUGGCCCACCAAGGCGACGACGGGUAGCCGGCCUGAGAGGGUGACCGGCCACACUGGGACUGAGACACGGCCCAGACCUCCGUACGGGAGCA